AAAAUUUAAAAUUAAAAUACUAAAAUAGUAGGUAAUUAUUUAUUGAAACUUAAAUAAUUUGGCGGUAUUUUAGUUCAUUUAGAGGAAUCUGUUUAAUAAUUGAUAUUCCACGAAUAAAUUUACUUAUCUUAUAAUUUUGUAUAUCGUUGUUAUAAAAAUAUUUUUUAAUAAUAUUAAUAUUUAAAAAUUAAUAAUAUAAAUUUAAAUCAGAUCAAGAUGCAGAUUAUAGUUAAGAAUAUAAUGGAUUACAAUAAAUUUAUUUAAAUGGAUUUUAAUUUGUAAAAAUUAAUUGAAAGUGGAUUUAAAUGUAAUUUUAUUUAAUUUAAUAAAAUGAUUAAAAAUUAAGAUAUGU
rnacentral:rRNA from 3 species